rnacentral:rRNA from 1 species
UUGACCUCGGAUCAGGUAGGGAUACCCGCUGAACUUAAGCAUAUCAAUAAGCGGAGGAAAAGAAACCAACAGGGAUUGCCCUAGUAACGGCGAGUGAAGCGGCAACAGCUCAAAUUUGAAAUCUGGCUCUUUUAGAGUCCGAG